UACGAAGGGGGCGAGCGUUGUUCGGAUUUACUGGGCGUAAAGGGCGCGUAGGCGGCCCUCCUAGUCGCGUGCGAAAGCCCCGGGCUCAACCUGGGAAUUGCGCGCGAAACGGGGGGGCUUGAGUUCGGGAGAGGAGCGUGGAAUUCCCAGUGUAGAGGUGAAAUUCGUAGAUAUUGGGAAGAACACCGGUGGCGAAGGCGGCGCUCUGGACCGAGACUGACGCUGAGGCGCGAAAGCGUGGGGAGCAAACAGG
rnacentral:rRNA from 1 species